UAUUUUGUCAGCAAAAAAACAUUGCCCAUAAACAUAACACUACUUCUUGAUGAAAAUAAAAACAAAACAAACAAACCUACAAACAACUCUUCUAUCGGUCGUUCAUUGAACUAAAAAGAUAUAAUGUGUGCAUGUGUGCAUUGUACGCCAGUACACUAGGCCACAAUUAGAUGGUCGUAUUAGUUGUUGUUGUAACCGAUUGACAGCUAGAUAUUGAGAGGAGGCACAACUUAGCUUAGGUUGGGUAUAAUAACAGUCUUGACUAUUUACGGCAACAGUCUCCGACUCUGAAGUUUUGGUAUUGGAAAGAAGAUUGCAAUAGCAAUAAUUAUAACGGCAGAAAGCAUAAACAAAACGUAAGCGUGAUCUCUCCAAGAAGAGACGCAGCAACAGCAGAAGAUUGACAUAGAACUUGUUGGUUUUGAUGCAACUUGCAAGUCGCAACUUAAGAAAGGAAGGAUGGUUCCAUGUGCAUCCAUCGAGUACGUACAAAAUGACGUCAAGUCGGUCGGUUGUAAUGCAUACCAACUCAUUAGUUGAGGAUUAGAUAACCACCGUUCUCAUAGUCUUUAUGAUGGAAAAAUGACAGAAGUAAAAAACGGGAGAAGAUGGCAUUUCCCAGAUGUGUCAUAUUAAUGAGUGCGUUGCAGUUAGUUUUAGUCUCGGUGUAUACCGGUGCCGAUUGUGGUGGCAGGAAGUCUAGUCUGGAAGCUCUACAUAAAUGGGAGGUUGAUUUUUCCAUGGUACUUGUGGAGGUACUUAAGGAGACGGGACAUGGUUUAAGUUUU